GUCAACGGCCAUACCACAACGGUCCACCGGUUCUCGUCCGAUCACCGAAGUUAAGCGUUGUUGGGCGUGGUUAGUACUUAGAUGGGGGACCGCUUGGGAACACCACGUGUCGUUGGCA